GACCCUAAAAAGUUCUAAAAGCACAAAGAUUUGGUCCUAGUCUUAUUAUCAAUUAUCUCUUAACUUACACAUGCAAGUCUCAGCACUCCCGUGAGGACGCCCUUUCCCCCUUCAUUAGGCUAAGGAGCUGGUAUCAGGCACUACUCAUGCCCAUGACACCUAGUCCCACCACACCCCCAAGGGUAAUCAGCAGUGAUAAACUUUGUUAAUAAGCGACAGCUUGACUCAGUUAGAGAGAAGAGAGCCGGCCAACCCGGUGCCAGCCGCCGCGGCUAGACCCAUGGGCUCAAAUUGAUAGCAGCCGGCGUUAAUCGUGAUUAAAGUACCCUAAAAUUAGAGUGAAACCUACUGUCUUGCCGUGAAAAGCUACACUCUAGGGAAAACCAGAAACGAAAGUUACUCUAAUCCAUACUUGAAUACACGACAACUAGGAGACAAACUGGGAUUAGAUACCCCACUAUGCCUAGUCGUAA
rnacentral:rRNA from 1 species